rnacentral:tRNA from 1 species
GGGUGCGUAGCUUAAUAAGUCUUAAUUUUGCAAAAAUUAAUGUGAGAGCUAUUAGUUCUCCGUAUCUU